AUCCAGCUGACGAGUCUCAAACAGUACGACACAUGAGUCCUGGAU
rnacentral:hammerhead_ribozyme from 1 species